AGUGAACGCUGGCGGCGUGCCUAACACAUGCAAGUCGAACGAGAACGGAUUUAAGCUUGCUUAAAUUGUCAGCUAAGUGGCGCACGGGUGAGUAAUGUAUAGUUAACCUGCCUUUAAGAAAGGGAUAACAAUUAGAAAUGAUUGCUAAUACCUUAUAUGCCUUUUAAUCAUAAGAUUGUAAAGGGAAAUGCUUUAGUGCUUAAAGAUGGGACUGUAUAGUAUCAGAUAGUUGGUGGGGUAAUGGCCUACCAAGUCAAUGACGCUUAACUGGUUUGAGAGGAUGAUCAGUCACACUGGAACUGAGACACGGUCCAGACUCCUACGGGAGGCAGCAGUGGGGAAUAUUGCACAAUGGAGGGAACUCUGAUGCAGCAACGCCGCGUGGAGGAUGACACAUUUCGGUGCGUAAACUCCUUUUAUAUAGGAAGAUAAUGACGGUACUAUAUGAAUAAGCACCGGCUAACUCCGUGCCAGCAGCCGCGGUAAUACGGAGGGUGCAAGCGUUACUCGGAAUCACUGGGCGUAAAGAGCAUGUAGGCGGAUUAAUAAGUUUGAAGUGAAAUCCUAUAGCUUAACUAUAGAACUGCUUUGAAAACUGUUAAUCUAAAUAUGGGAGAGGUAGAUGGAAUUUUCUGGUGUAGGGGUAAAAUCCGUAGAGAUCAGAAGGAAUACCGAUUGCGAAGGCGAUCUACUGGAACAUUAUUGACGCUCAGAUGCGAAAGCGUAGGGAGCAAACAGG
rnacentral:rRNA from 1 species